UGACUCCUGUGUUUGCUGAGCUACAGCAGGAUGUUCAGUACAGAACAAAGCCUAAAGCUGAAGAGUUACCCUCAUUUCUAAAUUGGUUGCAUGCAGCAUUCAGGCACCUCAAUCUGUUAAUUACUAUGUCUGGAAAGCCUUGGCAUACAUAUUCAUCACCUGCAAUUGUCAUGCUGCCAGUUUUUGCAAUUUUAAUCACUAACUUCAUGAUAUCUGGCAUUUUUCUUGAAGUUGAAUCCCUCAGAAUUGUUUGGUUUCCUGACAGUCUCAGUAUUGCUUCUUUUUAAAAAAGAAAGUCUAAAUUUAAGGGCCUGAGAUUUCAAAGAAAAAACUGAAAUGUCAAUAUCUGGGGGGGAAAUGAAGAUUUUGAAGAGUUGUAAGAAUAAAUGGUUUCUAAAAUAUAACUUCAAGAAAAGCAAAGUUCACUUUAGUUUAAAAAAGAAAAAUUGGAGGAGUGAGAUUAUAGAGGAAAAAAACAAGGUGGGCUGUUGCAGUCAAUAUGAUCAUUAAUUACAUAAGGUAUUACAAUAAAUGGUGAUCAUGUGAGCCAAGAAGGCUCUUGGAGGAUGAAGGCAGAGGAAUUUAUUCCCAUUUGUAACAGAAUGAGAAUUAUUAAGAGUUUUAUGACUUCUGGAUCAUCAGAGCUGGCUGACUGCAAAAACUAUGGAAAUGUUUGCCAGCUGCCUAUGAAUUAUAAGAUCAGACGAACAGCUGGGAAAGAGCUUCACAGAAUACUUCAUUGUGCUUUAGACCUUCCAUGAAGCCUCUUUCACAAUUUUGCUUCUGUAAUUCAACACAUCUUGUUUUUUUAGCAGCAGCAUGAUUGUGAUGCACAGCAACUUCUAUUAGUGGAGAGCAGCAAAGGCAACACUUCUGUUUUACUCCACAUCAUCUUUGCCUGAGAGGAAGAUAAAAAACACCGGCAAAGUUUGAUAAGAAAAUAUUUUUUUUUCUCCUAAGUUCUCCUCUGUGUUGAAAAGGAAGUGCUAUGGAUCAAGGCAAAGGCAUGUUUCAGUACUUCAUUAUCCUCACAACUGUGUGACAUUGCUGUGAGCACCCUCAGAGCAAAGCUGUGUCAAAGUGAGCUGCAGAUCAGCGGUGCAGGGCUGCUCCUUCAUCCCAUGCUCUGCUCCUCAGCUGGCUUUAGGGCAUGCUUUCCAAGGAGUGACCUCUUGGCUCUGUACUGCAUCCUCCUGCUAUUCCUGUAGCAGGGAGUAUGAAUUUGAAAGCAAUCCUGGUUAUAAAAGCAGCAAUUGUGCUUCCUACUUUGGACCUUAGACCUUAGAAAAUACUUCAGACUAAUUCUCAAGUUCUCGCUGUCUGAGACUUGGGAGCAAAUUUCUUUUUUAAAAGUCUCUCUCUUCCCUAAGUGUUUAUCAACCCAUCCAUGUCCAUGAUUUGUUGAUUUCAAAUCCUAAACAAUUUCAAUUCAGAGUUAUGCAACCCAAAAGCACAUGUAUUUUCCUGCCCAAUAAAGUUUGUUUGAAGAGAUUAAAAAUAAUUAUGAAAUAACUGUCCAAGAGACAAAGAGUGUUUAGGGCAUGCCACUGAGUUGAAUCUAAUUCAAGUCAACAACUGCCAGAAGCCAGAAGUGUCUGAGUUUCCUUUGACUGUUAGGACAAGCUUGUUGCUGGUUUAUCCUCGACAAAAAUACAGACACAUCACAUAAUCCUUCAGCUUUUUGGCAUCCUCAGGAAAGAAGAUGGGAACUGAAUAGUCUCGAGGCAGUUUCCCACACAUUAUUGAACUCAUCUCUCCAGACAAAAAGAGCAGUGCAUAACAAACACAGGUGUAUCAAUAAGUACUAACUUCAACAGCAAACACACCCAGGGCAACCUUCUCCAGAAGUGUAAGGGUAUCAUCCUAAAACAUGAUAUCCUUUAGCUGCAGAGGAAGCUUUUUACAAAAAGAUAAGAUAGAAGUGUUUGAUGUGAAUACGUCUUCAAUUAACAUUUCUGGAAGAUAAUGGAAGGCACUGAUUGGAAAAUCCUUAUCAAGGUAAAAGUGUUUUAGAACUAAAGAAAAAAUGUGCCUGUCAGACCUCACUGCAAUCUCAGCAAUGUCUGCAAUUGAAGAGGGGCUUCAUAAAGUGCAGUUGGAUGAAAAAAAAUCAUCAUUGGAAGAAAUCACCCAGAACUACCUGAUCAGAGAACUGAGCAAACCAACCUGAGAAGCACAGCAUGAAUAAAUGUGGUGCCAUAUUUCAUUGUCUCCCCAGAGUAAAAAAAAACAUUUGCUCUAUAUUUUAACAGAUAUACCUGCUUCUCAACUGGUAGCUUGACUCAAUGACUGGAACCAGGCAAAAAAAAGAGCAGGGAUUCUACAAAUGAACUCACUCCAAAAUUAUGUCCCCUGUGAGGGAUUUAGUUGGGGGAGGAGGGUUCUGCUUUGUUUUUCUCUGGAAAAGAAUAUUCUGAGCAGCAGUUUUUGAUUUAGAGGGCACGAUUCUGCUGCAUAGCCAUUGAAGGUCCUAAAUCAUAAGGGGUCCAUAAUCAUUAGUUAGAAUUGCACUAACAAUAGAAAUGACAAAACUGGUCUCUACAAAAGGAUGCUUAGAGCUGUAGGCUGUUGUUUUCUGAGAAUAAAUAGGCAGCAAAGAGAAAAUAGAAUGUGCUUCUAAGCAGUUGGCUGGUGCCUGCAUUGUGUAGUUCAGUCAGAGCUGGCACAUCUUUGUUUGAGGAGCCCCUUCUGAUGUAGCAUUUCUGCAUUCCCUGUGGGGAUACAUCACAAACAUCGCAUCUCUCGGGGACAGAAUAAACUCUAAUCACAAGAAAAUCUGCCAGCAGGAUAUUAGUAGGAGAAUUUACUCUGGAAACAAAAUAGUGUAUGAACUCACUUCUAACCAUGUGGACAAGGACAUUUCAUUAUCACAGCCCUUUGCCUCCCUUCUAUUUAACCCCAGAGACAGCAGGACAACCCUCCUAGAGGAUGCUAGAGGGACAGGGGGAUGAAGGGACUUCAGCAAAAGGUCUGCUUCUUCCUACCAGUAAAGUCCCCUUUUAGACAAGGAUGACAAACACAUGCUAGGUUUAGAAACUACUUGUUUGCUUCCCCUGAA